AUAUCGAUUAAUUAUAUAAAUAUGUCCAAGUGUAAUAUCUGUUCUUAUGAGCUUAAUAUCUGAUGCAGGUUGUAUUUGGACCCAAGGUAUUAAAUUUAUUUCUGCAAGUUCGCGGAGUGCUUGACGCCUGCUUGACCUCCGCCGCGGAUCGGCCCGGUAUUGGACAAUCUUCGGGAUCAGCCCACGGUUC